rnacentral:rRNA from 1 species
AGCGAACGCUGGCGGCAGGCUUAACACAUGCAAGUCGAGCGGGCAUCUUCGGAUGUCAGCGGCAGACGGGUGAGUAACACGUGGGAACGUACCCUUCGGUUCGGAACAACUCUGGGAAACUGGAGCUAAUACCGGAUACGCCCUUAUGGGGAAAGGUUUACUGCCGAAGGAUCGGCCCGCGUCUGAUUAGCUAGUCGGUGGGGUAACGGCCUACCAAGGCGACGAUCAGUAGCUGGUCUGAGAGGAUGAUCAGCCACACUGGGACUGAGACACGGCCCAGACUCCUACGGGAGGCAGCAGUGGGGAAUAUUGGACAAUGGGCGCAAGCCUGAUCCAGCCAUGCCGCGUGAGUGAUGAAGGCCUUAGGGUUGUAAAGCUCUUUUGUCCGGGACGAUAAUGACGGUACCGGAAGAAUAAGCCCCGGCUAACUUCGUG